GCAGCAGGUAAGAAUAUUCCGCAAUGGGGGGAACCCUGACGGAGCGACGCCGCGUGAACGAAGAAGGCCGGAAGGUUGUAAAGUUCUUUUCUGUUCGAGGAAUAAGUGUAGGAGGAAAUGCCUACAUGGUGACGGUAGGGCAGGAAUAAGCACCGGCUAAUUACGUGCCAGCAGCCGCGGUAACACGUAAGGUGCGAGCGUUGUUCGGAAUUAUUGGGCGUAAAGGGCAUGCAGGCGGGUCGCCAAGCUUGGUAAGAAAUACCGGGGCUCAACUCCGGAGCUAUAUUGAGAACUGGCGAGCUAGAGUUGCCGAAGGGUAUCCGGAAUUCCGCGUGAAGGGGUGAAAUCUGUAGAUAUGCGGAAGAACACCGAUGGCGAAGGCAGGAUACCGGCGGACGACUGACGCUGAGGUGCGAAGGUGCGGGGAGCAAACAGGAUUAGAUACCCUGGUAGUCCGCACAGUCAACGAUGUACACUGGGCGUGUGCGCAAGAGCGUGCGUGCCGAAGCAAACGCGAUAAGUGUACCGCCUGGGGAGUAUGCCCGCNAGGGUGAAACUCAAAGGAAUUGACGG
rnacentral:rRNA from 1 species